rnacentral:lncRNA from 1 species
AAAAAUUUUCUUUCUGACAUCCUCAUUUUAUUGCUUUAGAUACUUACUUUUCUUUUUUUUCCCAUUUCAAAUUUCAAACCACCAACUUUAUCUUCUUUCUCUUUUUAUUCCUCUCUUCUCUCCCACCGUGGUUAAAAAUCUCCCACCACCGACAAAAUCUUCGUCGCCACUUCAAAAUCCAUAAACACCAUGACUAAAUCCCUCACCGCCGAGACGAUUUCAGAAGCUGCCGCGACGAAACCCCUCGCACUCUCUAUUUAUAGCUUUUCCACCCCAAGCUCACUUUCUGGACAGGUUUUCUCCACAUCUUCGAUUCGUUAUUCUUUGUACAUUGUUUCUUAUUCGUGUUUCGCAUCUACAAAGUUUUUCUUCAGGUCCCUUAGAUCUAAAUGCCACUUUUGUUUAUCAGAUUUACGUUUUCACAUAUAUUUGCUCUAUAGUAGUGUUAAACCUUCCAUUUCGAGUUAGUUUUAUACCCGUCCACUUUAUGUUACAGAAGUUCUAUUCAAUUUCGGCAUAAAUCAGACCCAAGAAAUAUGUUAAAAUUUUGACUAUUAAUAGUUGUUUACUUUUUGUCAAAUCUCUGUGUACCUAUUUUUCUAUUAAUAGUUGUCUACCUCUCGUUUCGUUUUCAGAAUGGCCAACAUUCCUCUAGCUACAGAUGCAUCCCCUAUUGAACCUCUACGUGUAUCGUUGAAUCAUGUGCUUCUAAAUUUAUUGCGGUCAACUUAGAUGUUAGUUGUUUUCUAUUAAUAGUUGUCUACUUUAUCUUUGUUCAGAUCGCUUAAUAGUAGUCUACUUUAAUAGUUGUCUACGUUAUCUUUGUUUUCUGCUAAAAGUUGUCUUAUAUUUGUCUACUAAUAGUUGUCUACUUUAUUAGUAUAUACAGAAUGGCAAACAAUGUAUCUCUCCAGCUUCAGAUGUAUUGAUCGAUGUCUUUGUAAGAGUAGAGAGAGAAUCUGCGGACUUCAGCUGUUAGACCGUUCAUUCCCCGAAUGCGGUUGGAAACACCACUUGAAGUGUUGUGAGCAUUGCUACCUGUUCACUCAUUACCAAAUUGUGAGGAAAUGUUCUUGCACCUUAGUUAUCUGCCAUAGUAAACUACCUAUGUGUAGAUGACUAUGUUAUGUAUUCUUGUUAUGAACCUUUUUUUGUAGUCAACUACUAUUUAAUUAUGAACAUUUUGUUUCGCAUUUGUAGCGUACAAUUUUAUCUGUAUAUUAAUUGCUAUAUACUUAUUAAUUGUAGUUGAAAUUUU